rnacentral:rRNA from 1 species
UACGGAGGGUGCAAGCGUUGUCCGGAAUCACUGGGCGUAAAGGGCGCGUAGGUGGCCGAGCAAGGUCGCGGUGAAAGCCCGGGGCUCAACCCCGGGUCGGCCGUGGCAACUACUGGGCUGGAGCACUGUAGGGGCGGGUGGAAUUCCGGGUGUAGCGGUGGAAUGCGUAGAGAUCCGGAAGAACACCGGUGGCGAAGGCGGCCCGCUGGGCAGUUGCUGACACUGAGGCGCGACAGCGUGGGGAGCAAACAGG